GCCAGUGUGGUAUAGUGGUUUGAGAAUUGGACUAAAAUGCUGGAGAUCAGGGUUUGAUUCCCUGCUCUUGGCA